rnacentral:rRNA from 1 species
UACGUAGGGAGCAAGCGUUAUCCGGAUUUAUUGGGUGUAAAGGGUGCGUAGACGGGAAAUUAAGUUAGUUGUGAAAUCCCUCGGCUCAACUGAGGAACUGCAACUAAAACUGGUUUUCUUGAGUGCAGGAGAGGAAAGUGGAAUUCCUAGUGUAGCGGUGAAAUGCGUAGAUAUUAGGAGGAACACCAGUGGCGAAGGCGACUUUCUGGACUGUAACUGACGUUGAGGCACGAAAGUGUGGGGAG